rnacentral:rRNA from 1 species
UAGGGGAAUCUUCCACAAUGGGCGGAAAGCCUGAUGGAGCAACGCCGCGUGUGUGAUGAAGGGUUUCGGCUCGUAAACACUGUUGUAAGAGAAGAAUGACAUUGAGAGUAACUGUUCAAUGUGUGACGGUAUCUUACCAGAAAGGAACGGCUAAAUACGUGCCGG